rnacentral:rRNA from 1 species
GUUGCAGUUAAAAAGCUCGUAGUUGGAUUUCUGGGAGGGUGCCAAUGUCCGUCGUCGUACGUGUUGCAGCGGCGCCCUUCCAUCCUUCUGUUAACGACUUUGGGCAUUUAUUUGCUGGAGUCGGGCUCAGAUAUUUUACCUUGAGAAAAUUAGAGUGUUUCAGGCAGGCUAAGCCGGAAUACAUUAGCAUGGAAUAAUGGAAUAGGACUACGGUCUCUUUGUUGGUUUGAGGGACUGCAGUAAUGAUUAAUAGGGAUAGUUGGGGGCAUUAGUAUUUAAUUGUCAGAGGUGGAAUUCUCGGAUUUGUUAAAGACUAACUUAUGCGAAGGCAUUUGCCAAGGAUGUUUUCAUUAAUCAAGAACGAAAGUUAGGGGAUCAAAGACGAUCAGAUACCGUCCUAGUCUUAACCAUAAACUAUGCCGACUCGGGAUCGGGGGCGCGAACUAUCCGCCUUCGGCACCGUAUGAGAAAUCAAAGUCUUUGGGUUCUGGGGGGAGUAAGGUCGCAAGGCUGAAACUUAAAGGAAUUGACGGAAGGGCACCACCAAGCGUGGAGCUUGCGGCUCAAUUUGACUCAACA